rnacentral:tRNA from 1 species
GUCCUUAGUAGCUUAAUUCACAAAGCAUGGCACUGAAGAUGCCAAAAUGGUAGCUAUAUAUACCCAAGGACA